rnacentral:lncRNA from 1 species
AGUCUGUUGCCCAGGAUGGAAUGCAGUAGUGUGAUUACACCUAACUUCAGCCUGAAACUCCUGGGGUCAAGUUAUCCCCCGACCUCAUCAUCCCAAGUAAUGGGGACUACAGAGUUUAGGAUGCUUCAAGGGAAAGAUGAACCGGGGAACCGCCACCGUGACUAUUUCUCAUCUACAUAUCCACCCCCCGAAGUUCUUAAGGUGGAGCGGAAUUCAUUUUAUUUGCAAAUGUGGAAGGCAUUAUAAAAACCGUGAAUGAUGCCCCCUCCCAUGAGGGAUACAGGGAGAGCCACGUGAAGAGGAUGUUGGGCUUCUUCAAGCUGGCAGGGCACUGAGCUGACUGUCCACCACACUCACCAGGGGCCUUUGUGCAUCCCGUGGGGCAGCUCUGGGAAAGGAGGCUGGAAAAAAAAGUCCUAUGGGCCAAAUCCUCCUGAUCCUGUAUAGCCCACAACAUAAUAAUAGUUUUAUAUUUUUAAAUGGUUGGAAAAAUCAAAAGAAGAAGAAUAUUUCAUGAGGGCCAGAAAGGAUGGGCUUUCCCUUUUCCUCGUGGCAGAAACUUCCCUGACUUCAUAGCUGGGUUCCCCCUAUCCACAGUUUACAGUACAACUAUCUCCUCCAAGUUGGCCAGCAUUGCCUCUGAUACGUGAACAAGAAGUAUUUGGAGGGUUAAUAAAUACAAAUCAACACAUAUACACAUGAAGAGAAAAUGGAUGUAAUAACCAAGGACUGCCUGAUAUGCGGGAACUGAAGCUCAGAAAGGCAAAACAACUUUUCAUGCUCUUCUACCUAAUAAGUCGGAGAACCAAGAUUCAAAUUCUAAAUGCGGGUCUGAUUGAGGCCAAGCAGGUGAGCAGGCUCAAUGGGAUUCUCAGUGUUGGCCUGGCUUCCACACAAGGAAGAGGCCACUGGCAGGGGUUCCUGUCCUCAGCCAGGCUUCUAGCCUGACACUGGCUGGACAACGCAGAGUGAAGCUGGUCAUAGGGCAGGGUUUCCUGAAGCUGUGCCUGCUUCAUGAGGCUGCCUGCUGGCCCAGGCUCACCUCUCCCUCCAAAGGGCACAGUGGCUAUUUCUGGCCGUCCCAGCCUCUGGCUGUGUCUGUCUUCUUUAACCUUCCUGAGGCUCCAAAGGCCAUUAGGAAGCUGGCCGAAGCUUCAUGGCCCAAUGACAGGACUAGGAUCUUACUGGAUGGAGGAGGGGAGAGAGUGAGUCUUUAGGUCCGUGAAAUUGCUGCCAGCAUUUGGCCAGCUGUCGUCCAUCAGCCAGAGAGCUAACCAGAGCCUCCCUUGGGGCUGGUCCCUGGAGU